AGUUUUUUUUAUUAGUAACUUGCAAAUAAUUCAUAAGUAAACAUUAACGAAGCCGUAAACAGGAGUGAUGCAACAGAACAGUAUUGUAAAUAUAGUUCAAGAUGUUAAAUUUCACGCAUUCUGUAAGAAAAAACGGGCACAAUCGGAUAUAAAAUAAUGCGUGUUGUUAGUAAAUCCUGAUACUUACAAAUGUAAUAUUAGUGUAGGAAAGCUGUGAAAACAAGGAUAAACAUAGUAUUGUAUCUUGUUAUUAUAAUCUGUAGUAUUAGUACAAUGUUAGUUAAUAUUAUUUUUUUGAUUAAUUGUAAUAAUGGUAUAUCCUUUCGUCCGUCUCAAACGCUCAACGCUAACACAGGCAUGUGCUACAAUGUUCUUGUUUGCAAGAAAUGUGUUUCUUCGUACCGCAGAAGUGGAAAACGUUAUUCUUGAAUUGACUUAUCAAUAACUGACGAAGCUGACUCGAAUUUAUACUUAAUUCCUUAUAUCCGACCUUGAGAAAUUUACAGUUAAAGAGAAACAGCAUUACAUUCCGCAGAAAAAUAUUACGAUAAGCGUGAAGUCUAAGACGGGAUAUGAUGUGUGAACGGUGGCUAUCAGUUGUAUAUUGUAAAUUUAAAGGUUGGCAGUGUAAUUUGUAAUGUAUAAACUGACAACAUUAUUUACUUUUUGGCAUGAGACGCAGCUGGCUUUGGCAGUCUAAAGAUCACAUUUCAAUUCACGAAACAAUAUAAAUAUUACUUCUCACUUCUCGAGCCACCACAAUUCUGAUAUAGGUAAUUUGGAGACAGAUACUGAGAAUCGAAGGCGAUGCCUCUACAUUACCGGUUGAUGUUACUCUCUCCUGGCCUAAGAAGUAAGAAUGUGUUGGCUCGAACCAGUAGCGAAAAAAAUGUGUAUGACCGGCGUAAUGCAUCAUAAAUUCUUUAAACGUGAUGGUAACAUACCAUUAAAAAGUGAAGAUACGGGAUGCAUAAUUAUAAAGGAAGAAGAAAGGCAAUUUUCAAUUAACAUACCAUUAUACGACAAUAAAUCACUAAAGAGAGUCAAUGAAGUAAUUAAUAUGUAAUAAAAUACUUAAUAUGUAAUUCAGUAAUGUUUAAUACAAUUCUUUUGCGAUUUUAGUAUACGGAAUUAAAAAGAAGUAGUAACGACAUUAAUAUCAAUGCAGAGGAAUGUGUUGUCAAUUCUUGUUAAAAGAACGAUAUUUCGAAACUGGACUGGGAGUCCGUGUCCACUUUCUGAACGACUGAAGAACCACCCAAAGGCACAGUGAUCGCUUCAUUUGCCAGUGCCUUACGUAUUUCUUUCUGUAAAUUCUCUCUGUUUUGUUUAUCUCUGUUAACAGUAAGAAGGCAUAUCUUAGACAUAAAAUAACAGCACAGGUUGAUAGUCCUAUUAAAAUGUCUAGUAAAUCGAUGUGUGGAACUGGAGUAGGUUAACUUGUACAGGAGAGAGAAGGUUUUAGUUUUGAAAUGUAGCUUCGGAGUCAGUAUCAGUCGGGAAAGUCGAGAUAUAAGUAUUCUUUCUUCUGAGGAUGUAAAUGUCGAAUGAAUGAGAAAUACUGACAAUUAUAGAAUACAUUAACUAUGCCCUCAUGAAAGGGGUAAAAGAUUACACAUAUACUGACAUAGGAAUCUGAACUACGUUUACGGAUACUUUUACUCAUUGCAGGAAGAUUACAACUAUCGCGAACUAACAAGGAGACGGCACGAGCGUGGGGUCGGGGAUUUGUCCGAAAUUUUGUGUGGUGAAAGAGGACUCCUAACACCUCACGUGGUUAAAAUAUUAGGACGCACUACCCGGAAAAUCCUGGGAAAAUCGAUCCAAAGUUUCUUAAGUGCCUUAUGAGUAUAAAAUGUUAGUCCAUUGACGAGCCGCCGCCUGGCCUAGAAGUUUAGGGCUCGGACUCUUACGCCAGAGGUCUCGGGUUCUAUUCGUUCUCUGGCACUUUUUUUUCAGUUUCUUUUGUUAUUCCACCAAUUAUUCAGAAAGUUUCCCAAACCUACAUUAUCUUUAACAAAUUAGUUACAUUAUUGAAUAAAAAUUAUUUCCUUCUUGUCCAACAACGCAAUUCAUGGCGGUGGGUUUUUCAUUUUUCAUUUUAAAGUAUAUAAGGAGAAUCAUUGGGUUUUUAAUCAGAAUAACAAAAUAGAUUGGGAAACAUUCAAUUUUUAUACAUAUAAUAAUUAUAAACAAGAACCGCAGUGGUAAUUAUCGUAAAAACAAACAAAGCAAUAAUUUUUGCGACAUCUUGCGCAACAUAUAAAAGCGGAUUUUAUACAAUCACAGGGCGUUUGCAAUAAAUCGGUACAAAAAUAUGCCCCAUUAACAUUUACGAAAAUGUUUUGAGUUUCUGACAAUUUUGAAGCAAACCAGGCAUAUUGAAUCAUGUCACGGAAUAUUGGUGACGACAACUGACGGUGAAUUAUAGAAUGAAUUUUUAUACAAUCUUCCCGGGAAUUGAUUUCACGAUUCUCCUGUAACAAUGCGCUGCAAUUUUGCAAGCAACAGGAGAAAAAAAAUUGCCGGAGGAGGAAUCGAUCCCGAGACCUCUUGGGUAAGGGUCCGAACGCUAACUAUGUAGGCCAGACGGCGGCUCGGCAGUGGACUAACAUUUUACACUCAUAAGGCACCUAAGAAACUUUGGAUCGAUUUUUCUCGGGAUUUUCCGAGUAGUGCGUCCUAACAUUUUAACCACGUGAGGUGUUAGGAGUUCUCUUUCACCACACAAAAUUUCGGACCAAUCCCGGACCCCACGGUGGUGCCGUCUCCUUGUAAGAGAAACAAUAUCCAGAUAACGCACAACGUCAUUUCCUUUUCGGAAAUUACUCCGUACGACGGUGAAGUGUGUUGUCACUGGAGAACCGUUGAAUCUUAAGUCAUAUAUUCAGUCAUAAUUCGUACCAAUUUCUCGAGUCAAGCAGUUUUACAGUUUGAUGAAAACUCAUUCGCUCCAAAUCUGCUGUAUUUGUUUUUGGAAAAAAGCCAAAAUUUUACCGAAGCAGGAGAGUCUCUCUCCCUCUCUCUCUCGCUCUUUUUCUCUCACCUUCACACCAUUGCACAUUGCUGCACAUUGGUAACUCUCGAAACGCCGUCUCUGAAAUGUAAGUGGAAGUGAGGGAUCCCUUCGUGUGUGCGAGGGAAGGUAGAAGCUGAAUGUUGAUUUGCGGUGAAGCUUUGGUAGCGUGGCAGCACAUAUGACAGAUAAGUUGAUAUUAUCAGGGAAGCAGGUGUAAGCUACAAGGAAAAACGGCUAAUACAUAAUAUGUACUUGA